GUUUAAUUAAUUUUAAAUAUUAACCAGAUGUGUUAAUAAAUCAAUCUUUUUCAUUAACUAAAAUUCUUUUAAAAAUCAUAAAUAAAUAUUCCAUCGUAAUUAAAUUUGAUUAUAAUGGCAUCGCCAGGGAGACAGCCAGCGGUGCCACUUCCAAUUCUAAAAUCUAUCUUUUCUAAAUACAAAUUUGAGAUUCAACAAAAUCUAAACCACUCGUCAGCAACAAUCUGGAAGAUAAUAAGCAAGGAGUUAUUAGCUAUGAUGAGCCCAAAACUACUCUAUAAUUAUGCCUCACAAAAUCGAAAUAAUUGUCUAGAUAUUUUGGAAAUACAGAAAGAAAUAGCUUUCUAAGGGAUAUUACACAAUAUCUGUAAAUCGAAUUGAAUAACCAGGGAUAUUACACAAUAUCUGUACAUCGAAUUGAAUAACUGAGAACCAACUUUCUCAGGGAUAUUAGAUAACGUUAUGAUCUUUUCCCUGAUCUCGGGCCUUCCCGUACCUACAACAACAACCUGACGAUUGGAUGAAAUCUCAAUCAAUUCCACAUAUCUCCUAUGAAAUAUCCAAGGGUACUCAAGCCGAAAAAUUUAAACAACAUUAAUUAGAACACAACGCCCCCACGCUUAUAAUAAAUAUAUAUCGUGAUUAUAACAAAUAUAUAUUACUAUUCGUACAUAAUAUUAUUCACCAUUCCUUCACUAUUAUAAUACAUAAAAAA